UGAACAUGGACAAGGCACAGGAAAACUGAAGGAGAUCUACCGGAGCAGAAUCAAGAAGGGGACCAAGUGCUACGAGAUCCUGGCAAAUUACUUGGUUUGGAAGAAGGACAAAAGGAAGGCGAGACCUGGGAAACCUUGCUGCUCUUUCGCUCCCAGCUGGGGUCACCAUCUGUUAGUGAAUAUAAAACAUCUCAGAUAAUAACUAUUUGUAGUUUCCCUAAUUCUGAUAGUUUACUCUUUGUCUUCCUUGGGUUACAUCGGUGGAAGCCAACAAUUUUCUACAGUUGGAGCAGUUGGACGGUGGACCACAAAAAGCACUGACGUCCCUCACUUCAGUGAAGCCCGAUAGACAAAGACCAUCGACUGUCCAAGCCCAAGAGGUAUCCCUUGAGGACCUAGGGGUUCUGCCCAACACCCAGACAUGGAACCACCUGAUGUCCUCCAUUACUAACCACCCUCCAACUUUUCAUGACAUCAUCUAUAGCUACUGUUGUUGUCAUGUUGUUAUCCGCUAAUAACGUUUUUUGCUCUAUAAUACUGGGCACAUAAUAUGUAAGAUACACAGAUGAACCAAAAACACGAGCACUGCAAACACUCAGAACAAAGAGAGCAGCAGUGCCUGAACUUUGCAGUCUCCCUCUUCAAUCUAUGAUUGCCAUGUGAGUGUACAAAAAAUCUGUGAA